CCUUUUCCUUGCUCUCAUCUUCCUUCGGUUUUCCAUUCACAUUCUCAAUUUUGUGAGCAUCCAUCUGAACAGCCUCAUUUGUCACGCCAUUAAACUGUUCCAUUGCAUUUUCUGUUUUCAGCUCACUAGUUUGCUGUGGUGGAAGCUCCUCCACUUUGGGCUUCUCUUCUCUCACAUGUCCAUUUUCUUCGGAGAACUCAAUCAUCUUUGGAAGCAAAUCAUAGUCCUUUUCACUGUCUGUUAGCUCCGCAUUUUCCACCGUUUGAAUUUUAGCCAUAGCUUCCUCAAGUAACUUAGACAACUCCUCAACCUUCUUAAGUGAAGAAGCUUCCUUAGUUCGGAGCUCUUUGUUUUCCAGAAUAAUAUUCUGUAACUCAUUUUCUUUGGCCAAUAAACUUUCUUUUAGUUUCAUGCUCUCAACCUUUGCUUCCCCAAGAGCUUCCUGCAAAGAUAUCACCUCAGCUUCAACUUCCUUCAGGCUAUCCUUCAAAUGAGCUUCUUCAUCCCUCAUUCCACAAGCUUCUUCCUCAGUUUGCUUCUGCAAAUUCACCAACCUAUCUAUUU
rnacentral:lncRNA from 1 species